rnacentral:rRNA from 1 species
UGGGGAAUAUUGGACAAUGGGCGAAAGCCUGAUCCAGCAAUGCCGCGUGAGUGAUGAAGGCCUUAGGGUUGUAAAGCUCUUUUACCCGGGAUGAUAAUGACAGUACCGGGAGAAUAAGCCCCGGCUAACUCCGUGCCAGCAGCCGCGGUAAUACGGAGGGGGCUAGCGUUGUUCGGAAUUACUGGGCGUAAAGCGCGCGUAGGCGGCCUUGUAAGUCAGGGGUGAAAUCCCGGGGCUCAACCCCGGAACUGCCCUUGAGACUGCAAAGCUUGAAUCCAGGAGAGGUGAGUGGAAUUCCGAGUGUAGAGGUGAAAUUCGUAGAUAUUCGGAAGAACACCAGUGGCGAAGGCGGCUCACUGGACUGGUAUUGACGCUGAGGUGCGAAAGCGUGGGGAGCAAACAG